GUUUUUAAGAUAGUGUAUAUAAUCGCCCUUUCACGGCGGUAACGCGAGUUCGAAUCUCGCUGGGAAUACCA
rnacentral:tRNA from 1 species